CGCGCUCCGUGUUGGGUUACAAUGACAAGGGCCCUGUCUGAACCACGACUUUUAGAAAGAUAAUAUUACAGGUCCACAGCUGAUCAGUCUUCCUCUACACAAUUGGGACAUUCAACACUCUGAAUGCACGGGGCAAUAUUGCAGAAUAAUCCAUGAAAAAAAGGACCAUGAUGAAAAGUAGCGACCAUCAUCAAUGGCAUUAUUAGAGCUGCA